rnacentral:tRNA from 1 species
GUGUAUGUAUUCCAACGGAAGAGAAACUGCACUCAGGAUGCAGACAGUACAGGUUCGAAUCCUGUCAUACACA